rnacentral:rRNA from 1 species
AUUGAACGCUGGCGGCAGGCCUAACACAUGCAAGUCGAGCGGAUGAAGGGAGCUUGCUCCUGGAUUCAGCGGCGGACGGGUGAGUAAUGCCUAGGAAUCUGCCUGGUAGUGGGGGAUAACGUCCGGAAACGGGCGCUAAUACCGCAUACGUCCUGAGGGAGAAAGUGGGGGAUCUUCGGACCUCACGCUAUCAGAUGAGCCUAGGUCGGAUUAGCUAGUUGGUGGGGUAAAGGCCUACCAAGGCGACGAUCCGUAACUGGUCUGAGAGGAUGAUCAGUCACACUGGAACUGAGACACGGUCCAGACUCCUACGGGAGGCAGCAGUGGGGAAUAUUGGACAAUGGGCGAAAGCCUGAUACAGCCAUGCCGAGUGUGUGAAGAAGGUCUUCGGAUUGUAAAGCACGUUAAGUUGGGGGGAAGGGCAGUAAGUUAAUACCUUGCUGUUUUGACGUUACCAACAGAAUAAGCACCGGCUAACUUCGUG